ACCACCCUUCUUGCAAAUUUUGCCACUCAAUUUUCUCUUAUUUUUUUUCAAAUUUUUUUCAAGAUUUUUCCAAUGAUUUCCACAUCCCUCUUCUUUGGUUUCAAUCCAAAAUUAUAGUACCAACCAUCUAGGAUGUCCCAUAUAAAUAAGGGACUAAAGGACAUCACAUGAGAUGAAGGGACACCAACCUUUGGCGCUCCAACUUCUCACACAGUGAAUAAAUUCAUUGCGUAAAAUUUUUGAUACAUCAAAUACUUACAAUAGAAGAACUCUUUCUCCUCUACGUAUCAUAAAAAUUUCACAUUAAAUUGGCAUUAAAUCAUAGGAUAUCUAUUUGAGAAAUAAAAACAAUGUGUAUUAGUUAAGAGCCUUCUUUAAGAAGGACUCUCCAUUUCACACACCAA
rnacentral:lncRNA from 1 species